AUUCCAAACAUCAUCCAACACUAAGCAAUAUUUCUUUCCACUAAUUUCAUUUCGAAGACGUGUUUGCAAUUGAUCCAACUCAAAGUUUCCUAGCUCUUUUCCGAUUGAUUUUAAUGUCUUUUCUACUAUUACUUUUAGAUCAAAGACAUCAGAGACACACACCCACAACUUCAGGUCAAAAUGAGUUUUGACUUUUUCAUCAUUAUAAACAUAUUGAGCUAAUGUGGUCUUUCCUAACCCUCCCAUCCCUACAAUGGGAAUGACAGACACAUUGUCCACAGUGGCAGAGUGUAAUAAAAGAUCUACAAUUGCCUUUCUAUCAUCUUCCCUCCCAAUGACUUCUUCCUCAGCUACAAAUGAAAUAGUUUGGUCUCUUUCUCUAGCUGUGAAUGGCUUUUCUGUACUAUGUUCUACAAAGUGGAAGGCAUGCCUAUCUUUUGCAAUAUCAUCUAGUCUUUCCCUUAUUGCCUUAAUCUUAUGACCCAUCUUAAUACCAUAAACUAUUGGAUUGGAAGCUGAAAAGAAAAGCCAUACCUCCUUUUUCAAUUUGUUUCCACCCAUGACUUGCUGGCGCAAAGCUUCAGUGGAGAAGUCGUCGAGCAAAUCAUCUGCGUCAUAGACCACCUCUUUCAGCUGGCCAAGCCAAUCUUUGACUUGAUUGUUUUGAGCAGACUUCUCCUCUGCAUCGAGAAGCACAGCCUGGAUUGUGGUUGUUGUGUUCUUGAGUUUCUGAAGCUCUUCCUUGAGACCCCACCACAGGCCAAUCUCUUGGAGAGCUACAGAACCCAAUUUCUUAAUGAUUUCUCCAGCAACAUUGAAGAGAACAUCUUGGGCCAUUUUUGGAAAAGGGUAUUAGGAAGCACUCUGGAUUUGAAUUGAUUUUAAAGGAGGAAAUGUUGUUGUGAAGUGAUGGGAGAAGGAAAAUGGCCAAUUAUUUAUAAGACUUUCCAUGAAAAUGCUUGUCCAUUACAUGUAAAAUCUAUGCCUUGAGUGAACAAGUCAUCAAAUGAAAGGGCAUAUCACAUACUUUAAUUAAAGAUCUAAAUGCCUUUAUUUCAUUUCUACUCAAACAAUAAAUUCCUUUCUUUG
rnacentral:misc_RNA from 1 species